AAAGAGAGAAUAGGCCAUUGGCUAUACACGGCUAGUGGAAUAGAAUGGGACUAUGAUUUUGGGAUAACGAAUUUGGUUACUCAACAUUAGCAAAAUGUGUACUAGCAUACUUAGGUUUAUUUCCUUUUGGGCUCACAAGGUUAUAAUUGCUAGCAUAUUACUUAAUUUUUAGUGGUGACCAUAUACACAAAUGCAUAUAAUCAUAUAAUCCAUG
rnacentral:lncRNA from 1 species